rfam:Gorilla gorilla gorilla genomic chromosome, chr11, whole genome shotgun sequence
GCUAGGUGUGGUGGCUUGCACCUGUAGUCCCAGCUACUCAGGAGGCUGAGGUAGGAGGAUCACUUGAGCCCAGGAGUUCAAGUCUGCAGUGAGCUAUGAUUGUGCCACUGUACUCCAGCUUGGGUAACAUAGUGAGACCCUGUCUCAA